CGACCACCAAACUCGACCGAGCCUCUUCUUCCCCGCGGUCUCUCCAUCAUCCUCUAGCGGAAAACCCUAAAUCCACCGCCAUGGGAGACGUCGAAGCGAGCUCGGCGAACCCGAAGAGAGCACAGGGGCGUCUCUGCUCCAUCUGUGGAGAGAAGAGACCCGCUCUGAAGCGGCCCAAAACCCUAGAAGAGAUUUGUAGGGAAUGCUUUUACAAUGUGUUUGAAGAUGAGAUUCACAAAGUUAUCGUGGAGAAUAAUUUAUUUAAGUGCGGUGAACGAGUUGCAAUUGGAGCUUCUGGAGGGAAAGAUUCCACUGUUCUUGCAUAUGUUCUAUCGGAAUUGAAUCGCCGCCAUAGUUAUGGCCUCGAUCUAUUUCUUUUAUCUGUCGAUGAAGGCAUAACUGGUUACAGGGACGACUCUCUCGAAACUGUCAAAAGAAAUGAAAUACAGUAUGGAUUGCCACUGAAAAUAGUUUCAUACAAGGAUUUAUAUGGUUGGACAAUGGAUGAAAUAGUGAAGGCAAUAGGCUUGAAAAACAAUUGUACUUUUUGCGGUGUUUUCCGACGUCAGGCCCUAGAUCGAGGUGCUGCAUUAUUGAAAGCUGACAAGCUUGUUACUGGCCAUAAUGCUGACGAUAUUGCAGAGACAGUUCUAUUGAAUAUUCUGCGAGGUGACAUUGCAAGGUUGAGUAGGUGUACAUAUAUAACUACUGGUGAAGAUGGACCAAUUCCGAGAUGCAAGCCUUUCAAAUACACCUAUGAGAAAGAGAUUGUCAUGUAUGCAUAUUUCAAAAAGCUGGACUACUUCUCUACAGAAUGCAUUUACUCUCCCAAUGCAUAUCGUGGUUUUGCUCGUGAAUUUAUUAAAGAUUUGGAAAGAAUAAGGCCUAGAGCUAUUCUAGAUAUCAUUAGAUCUGGAGAAAAUUUCAGAAUAUCAACAUUUACAAGGAUGCCUGAACAAGGGACAUGUAAACGUUGUGGUUAUAUCUCUAGCCAGAAAUUGUGUAAAGCGUGUCUUCUACUGGAGGGAUUGAAUCGAGGUCUACCGAAACUAGGCAUCGGAAGAACUAAGGGCCACAAUGGCGUAAACAAAGAUGACGAGCAACAAAAAAUCUCGCACUCAAGAGAGAAGGGAUCGAGUUUACAGAGCAAACAAUGUGGAACUCUUGACUUUUAAUGAGCCUGCUUACCCGAUUUAGAAAAUAUGUCAUUCGCAAAUUCCAAACCCAACUAUUUUGACGUCUUAAGCACUCCACUAUGCUUUAACCAUCGUGCCAUGUGUAGGUAGCUUCAGCUCCCCCUUCGUCGGCAGCGGAAUCGUGAAGUUGCCGACGACGGGGAGGUCGAUGGUGAGCCCCACCUCGAGCUCGUAGCGAUAUCCGGAAGUCGUACGGCACAUUCACCGGGAACUCCAGCUUCAUCGCCGGGGGGGGAUUGGUCGUCGAGGGGUAGCCUAGGAUCCUAAACGGUUGGGCCCAUUCAAGGUUUUUUUGUUUUUUGGUUUUUCAUUUUUAAUUUGACCAAUUCACAUUUAUCGUUUAAAGUUUAAAAGUCCGAAGUUAUUGUAAUUUAUUAUCUAGUUAUAUAAAUCGUUACAUACGCUUCGUCGAGAUUAUAGACUAUGUGAACUUCAGCUAGAUUGUAACUCACCGGACCAAGCGCAUUAACUCAUGUUUGAGGCACGAAUAGAACUCGACACCUAUUCCUCUUCCGGGAAGGGUGCUUAACUGCUUAUGGAUAAAAGAAAACAUUGUAGCCUCGUGCAGUAGGCAUUUUGGUACUCUAGGUCCUGAUACAAUGUUUGCAUAUUUGGAGCUCUGGACCGGAAAAAAGUAUAGAAUGCAUUAGUUAUAAUGCUGAUGCGGUGUUUUCAAC